GUGGCUCAAAAAGGGCAGGGCACCAGCCUCAUAUGCUGGAGAUUGUGGGUUCAAACCCACC
rnacentral:tRNA from 1 species